rnacentral:lncRNA from 1 species
CAAAAUAUUUAUCAUUUUAUUUUGGCAUUUUUCUUUGAAGAUGUUUAAAGCUUGGAAAGAAAGGUUUAAGGCUGUCCAUUUUUCUUUGAAAUAAUGGUUUUAAGCAUCUUUUGGUUACAAGCCUCACAAGUUGUAAGUUAUUAUUCAGAUUUUUUACACAAGCAGUGGUCAAUAGAGUCAACUGGGAUAAAACUUAAAUUUCCCGCCCAAACAAAAACUAACAAACAUAAAGAAUUUGAAUCAUCCUUCAAUAAUAACAUAAAUAGCAACUCCUGAGGCUUGUAAUUUGAUCAUUUCUGUAUUUCUCAAUGCAUUAUUGAUUCCACAGCCAGGCUCUAAAAUCAAGUAAAUGCAAUUGAUGAAUAUAGAUAAGCAAAUCCAAAAAUUGUUGAUAAUAUUACUUAAUAAGGUUACGAAUCCAUCUGCAAGACAGCUGUAAAUAAUCAUAUAGCCUGACGUCUGAACUUUUUAUAUGAUUAAUAAAGAAUAAGAGCAUAUUCAAAAAUCAAUUUCCACUUAAAUUUAUAGUAGUCAUGCAAAAGAGGAUUGUGAAUGUGUAUAUCACUGUGCAGAAGUAA